rnacentral:rRNA from 1 species
UACGUAGGGGGCAAGCGUUGUCCGGAAUUAUUGGGCGUAAAGAGCGCGUAGGCGGUCCGAUAAGUCGGCUGUGAAAGUCAGGGGCUCAACCCUUGAAAGCCGGCCGAUACUGUCGGACUAGAGUCCGGAAGAGGCAAGUGGAAUUCCCGGUGUAGCGGUGAAAUGCGCAGAUAUCGGGAGGAACACCAAUUGCGAAGGCAGCUUGCUGGGACGGUACUGACGCUGAGGCGCGAAAGCGUGGGGAGCGAACAGG